GAGUUUGAUCAUGGCUCAGAUUGAACGCUGGCGGCAGGCUUAACACAUGCAAGUCGAGCGGAGAUGAGGUGCUUGCACCUUAUCUUAGCGGCGGACGGGUGAGUAAUGCUUAGGAAUCUGCCUAUUAGUGGGGGACAACAUUCCGAAAGGAAUGCUAAUACCGCAUACGUCCUACGGGAGAAAGCAGGGGAUCUUCGGACCUUGCGCUAAUAGAUGAGCCUAAGUCGGAUUAGCUAGUUGGUGGGGUAAAGGCCUACCAAGGCGACGAUCUGUAGCGGGUCUGAGAGGAUGAUCCGCCACACUGGGACUGAGACACGGCCCAGACUCCUACGGGAGGCAGCAGUGGGGAAUAUUGGACAAUGGGGGGAACCCUGAUCCAGCCAUGCCGCGUGUGUGAAGAAGGCCUUAUGGUUGUAAAGCACUUUAAGCGAGGAGGAGGCUACUGAGACUAAUACUCUUGGAUAGUGGACGUUACUCGCAGAAUAAGCACCGGCUAACUCU
rnacentral:rRNA from 1 species